AGAGCCUGCAGGAAGGGAUCGAAGAGGGAUCUGAGGGGCCGACGUAGGAUCGAUAAGAGAACGGCGUCACAAAAGCCAAGAGAAGAGGUUCUAGAACAGGGGAGGCGCCAACAGGGUCAAAUGCGUCCGAGUGGUCCAAGCAAAUGAGAAUGGGAGAGCUUCCUCUGGAUUUGAGCAAGGCCCCAGGUCCUUCACCGAUGCCCGUCAUGGAGAGAGGAAGCAAGCAACCUCUGCUGUUCCUGAUUCUGCUAGGGGAUCUGGGGCCAGCAGACGCCCCGCACAGUGGCUUUUGGAGAAGUUGCCAGCUGUUGGAUCCAAUGAGUGCAUGUCGUGGUUGGUUCCAAAGGGCUCCCUGGCCCCCAAGACAAGUUGGCUGGGGAGCCAAUUGGCCCUCCUCGGUGCUGGGCGACUCUGGCAUACCGCUCAGCCACUCAGACUUGAAUGCCACCACGUGAAGACGUCUCUUCUGGGUCCCUUCUCCCUGUGGUUCCCUACGUAUUGGGCAAAUGGCCGAAGGGUCCCGGAGCCAGUAGAGUACUGUUCCUUUGGGCCACAGACCCUGUAAGUGCCUGGCUGAGUCACUGAAAGCAAGGAGCGCAGGGAGGCAGGGGACAGGGGCCUGGCGAUCAAUUCAAAUGUGGGCGUAUGAGCGCACGCAUGUUAAGGGUGGUGUAACGUAGAACCCCAAAACCACAGAAUUGAAGUACACAAGAUCGCUGAGAAGAUAGGGACUCGCCUGAGGUUGUACAGAGGUCAUGGCAGGCCUGGGUCUAGCCUACGCCCUUGACCCUUGGCCCCUCGCCCUGUCCACUCUAACCAUCAGAGGCACAGCCGCUGGGCCUCCGAUGGCAACACAUUUGAAUUCAGGAUAAUUUUCCCGGACAAACGAUGGGCUUAGGUGGUUCCGUGUCACCCUAGAGACAACCAUGAUGGAUGACGGUGACAACACUCAUUACGAUACCAGGGAAGCGCAGCCCGAGCCCAAGCGUGGGUCCCCGUCGCUGUCGAAGUCGGGGCGCCCGGCAGCCCUUGCUCGGGUCCUGGACCUGUUUGUCUUGUUCCCCGCGUGGCCCCAACACUUAGCCCACAGGGGCCCAGGGUGCAGUUCAAUUAGUGUCUGUUGAAAUAAUGAAUCAGUUAAUUAGUUCGCCCCUGUAAGAACCAGCUCUCCAGGUGGAAAGGUGUUCAGAAUUCUGACCUCAAACCCGAGGAAGUGCCUUUCUUCGCGGUCUCUCUCCUGCUCUGCUUCCCACGGGGCAGACCCCCCGGCCGGGCUCCCUGCUCCCGUGUUUGGAUGACGUGCUUCUCCUGAUGCUGUCCUCCCACACCCUCUCUGUUCUCGGCCAUUCCACACGCUGAGCUAACAGCUGACGGACUGCCUCCUACGUUGAAACAGGCACCCCAGAUUUGGAUCGUUGGUGCUGGGGCCCCAAAUGUAGGUCUUGAUGUCGGUCCUUGUUAAAUUUUCUCUUGUUGGAUUUGCUGCUUCGAUGUAGACGGUCAAGGCAUGCAUACAUGCUACUUUUCCUCUGCUGUGUCUGCUGUCCUUCCCCAACAAAUGGGAAGCAGUUGCCCUGUUUUCAUAAAUCCUAUCGGAUUGAAAGAUACACGGGGCAGCAGUGAAGACAGAGUCCU